rnacentral:pre_miRNA from 1 species
CGAUGAUGACGAUGAUGAUGAUGACGGUAAUGAUAACGAUGAUCAUGAUCAUGAUCAUCAUUAUCAUUAUCAUCAUCGUCAUCAUCAUCAUCAUCA